GACUCCAUUUUGUACGCCAAAAUUUUGCGGCAUAGAUAAUUUGCCUGUUUGUAAGGAAACGGAACAUUUAUUUUCAUUACUGGAUGGUGCUGGAAUUGCUAAAAUGGAUAUUGGAUUGGGAGUAUAGACAGGCUAGACAAAGACAACAACUUUCAAAAGAUGAAGUACAGCAACAUUGAAGAUAUUUAACAUUAAUGUCGUUAGGUACUUGGAAUUACAGAGAAGUGAUAAUAUACUAAUCAUCAUCAUCAUCAGCCUCUCUCGAUCCACUGCUGGACAUAGGCCUCUCAUGUUUGUCUCCAAAGGAGUCAAGUAGACUAAUAGAAUAACAGA
rnacentral:lncRNA from 1 species